UGUGUUUUCUAGUGUGGAUCAUGGAGGAGAGUUCAGGAUCACAUCAGGACUCCACAAAUAUGCCUGUGAUCUCACACUGGAUACAAACACAGCAAACAAACACCUCAAACUGUCUGACGAGAACAGAAAGGUGACGUGUGUGGAUGAACAACAGUCAUAUCCUGAUCAUCCAGACAGAUUUGAUGUAUAUCUCAGGUUCUGAGUGUUGAGAGUUUGACUGGACGCUGUUACUGGGAGACUGAAUGGAGUGGAGAUAAUGUUUAUAUAUCAGUGUCAUAUAAAGAAAUCAAGAGGAAAGGAUGGAGUUAUGACUGUGUGUUUGGACAUAAUGUGAACUCCUGGAGUCUGAUCUGCUCUGAUCACAGAUUCACUGCCCUUCACAAUAAUAAGUCCACUGCUGUAUCUGCUGGUUCAGUGUCCAGUAAGAGAGUAGGAGUGUAUGUGGACGUGUCUGGCGGCACUUUGUCCUUCUACAGCGUCUCUGACACACACAAACUCACACACUUACACACAUUCACACACACAUUCACUCAAACACUACACGCUGGAUUUAGACUUGGUUAUUCAAACUCUUCAGUGUCUCUGUGUGACAUUGACAUUAAACACACACACACACAUUAAACACACACACACAUUAAACACACACACACAUUAAACACACACACACAUUAAACACACACAGACAUUAAACACACACACACAUUAAACACACACACACAUUAAACACACACAGACAUUAAACACACACACACAUUAAACACACACACAUUAAACACACACACACAUUAAACACACACACACAUUAAACACACACACACACAUUUAAACACACACACACAUUAAACACACACACACAUUAAACACACACAUUAAACACACACACACACACACAUUAAACACACACUGACAUUAAACACACACACACAUUAAACACACACACACACAUUAAACACACACACACACAUUAAACACACACACACAUUAAACACACACAGACAUUAAACACACACACACAUUAAACACACACAGACAUUAAACACACACACAUUAAACACACACACACAUUAAACACACACAGACAUUAAACACACACACACAUUAAACACACACACACAUUAAACACACACACAUUAAACACACACACACAUAAAACACACACACACA